UACGGAGGGUGCGAGCGUUGUUCGGAAUCACUGGGCGUAAAGGGCGUGUAGGCGGUCUGCUAAGUCUGAUGUGAAAGCCCGGGGCUCACCCCCGGAAGUGCAUUGGAAACUGGCGGACUCGAGUCCCGGAGAGGAGAGUGGAAUUCCUGGUGUAGCGGUGAAAUGCGUAGAUAUCAGGAGGAACACCGGUGGCGAAGGCGGCUCUCUGGACGGUGACUGACGCUGAGACGCGAAAGCGUGGGGAGCAAACAGG
rnacentral:rRNA from 1 species